GAAUUUUUCUUUUGUGGAAAUGGGAGGCUGACUUAAAUGAUCAAAUACCAUCCUUAAGCCCGGAACCUUUUCUGCCACUUUCAAUGCCGUUUCUAUAUGAGUAGUCAAUACAGCUACUACAUCAUAAGGUUUAUCAUAAGCUGCUGCUAUCUUCAGGCUUUCAAUUACCGCUGGUUGCAAUAACCAUUUUGGAUCAUUCUCAUCAUGUACCUGGUGCCUGAUGCCUUUGAAAUAUUUUUGUUUAAGGUAUUUAUCUUCCAGUAAGGAUUGCGUCGC
rnacentral:misc_RNA from 1 species